rnacentral:rRNA from 1 species
UACGUAGGGUGCGAGCGUUGUCCGGAAUUAUUGGGCGGAUAGAGCUUGUAGGCGGUUUGUCGCGUCUGCCGUGAAAGCCCAGGGCUUAACCCUGGGUCUGCGGUGGGUACGGGCAGACUAGAGUGUGGUAGGGGAGACUGGAAUUCCUGGUGUAGCAGUGAAAUGCGUAGAUAUCAGGAGGAAUACCGAUGGCGAAGGCAGGUCUCUGGGCUGACACUGACGCUCAUGCACGAAAGCGUGGGGAGCAAACAGG